rnacentral:rRNA from 1 species
UUGGGAAUCUUCCGCCAUGGACGCAAGUCUGACGGAGCAACGCCGCGUGCGUGAAGAAGGAUUUCGGUUCGUAAAACUCUGUUGUUAGAGAAGAACAGCGCAUAGAGUAACUGUUAUGCGUGUGACGGUAUCUAACCAGAAAGCCACGGCUAACUACGUGCCAGCAGCCGCGGUAAUACGUAGGUGGCAAGCGUUGUCCGGAUUUAUUGGGCGUAAAGCGAGCGCAGGCGGUCAAUUAAGUCUGAUGUGAAAGCCCCCGGCUCAACCGGGGAGGGUCAUUGGAAACUGGUUGACUUGAGUGCAGAAGAGGAGAGUGGAAUUCCAUGUGUAGCGGUGAAAUGCGUAGAUAUAUGGAGGAACACCAGUGGCGAAGGCGACUCUCUGGUCUGUAACUGACGCUGAGGCUCGAAAGCGUGGGUAGCAAACAGG